CCCUUCCUGGUUUAGACUCUUCCUGUCUCACAGUUUCCAACGUGUAAUCAUUCCAUGUGGCUCGGCGACUGCUUUUAAACAUGAACCCGCCGUAAUCCCGUGCCUUCUUGCCGGUUUGAUGUCCAUUUGCCUGUGCGGCUGGACUUGUGGUCGAAACGACAAUAUUAAGGUGGAAUAGUUUUAAGAGGAGUCAUUCAGUGCGGCCUGCGGGGCAACGUACUUUGAUGCUGCUGCUUUGUUUU